UGGAUAGGAGAUGAGGUUGCUGUCAAGGCAGCUCGCUAUGACCCUGAUGAGGACAUCAGCCAGACCAUUGAGAAUGUCCGCCAAGAAGCCAAGCUUUUUGCGAUGUUAAAGCAUCCCAACAUCAUUGCCCUCAGGGGCGUAUGUUUGAAGGAACCUAAUCUUUGCUUGAUCAUGGAGUUUGCCCGUGGAGGAUCAUUAAAUAGAGUGUUGUCUGGUAAAAGGAUACCUCCUGACAUUUUAGUGAACUGGGCAGUACAGAUUGCAAAGGGAAUGAACUACUUGCAUGAGGAAGCAAUUGUUCCUAUAAUUCACCGUGACCUGAAGUCCAGCAACAUACUGAUACUCGAAAAGGUGGAAAAUGGAGAUCUGAGCAACAAGAUACUGAAGAUCACGGAUUUCGGCUUGGCCAGGGAAUGGCAUAAAACUACCAAAAUGAGUGCAGCUGGGACAUAUGCCUGGAUGGCUCCUGAGGUCAUCCGCUCCUCCAUGUUCUCCAAAGGCAGCGAUGUGUGGAGUUAUGGCGUGCUGCUUUGGGAGCUGCUAACAGGGGAAGUGCCAUUCCGAGGAAUUGAUGGUCUUGCAGUAGCCUACGGUGUUGCCAUGAAUAAACUUGCUCUUCCAAUCCCUUCCACGUGUCCAGAGCCUUUUGCCAAACUAAUGGAAGAUUGUUGGAACCCUGACCCACACUCACGACCUUCCUUUGCCAGUAUCCUAGGCCAUCUCACCGCUAUAGAAGAGUCUGGUUUCUUUGAAAUGCCCAAAGAUUCCUUCCAUUCCCUUCAGGAAGACUGGAAACAAGAGAUCCAAGAGAUGUUUGAUCAGCUCAGAGCCAAAGAAAAGGAGCUUCGCACGUGGGAAGAAGAGCUGACUCGUGCUGCUGUUGAACAGAAGAACCACGAGGAGUUGCUCCGAAGGCGGGAACAGGAGCUGGCAGAACGUGAGAUUGACAUCCUGGAAAGAGAGCUCAACAUCAUCAUCCACCAGCUGUGUCAGGAGAAGCCUCGUGUGAAGAAACGUAUGGGGAAGUUCAAGAAGAGUCGGCUCAAGUUAAAAGAUGGCAAUAAUAUCAGCCUGCCUUCAGAUUUCCAACAUAAAUUCACUGUGCAGGCUUCUCCAACAAUGGAUAAAAGGAAGAGCUUGAUCAGUAGCUGCUCCAGCCCUCCUGCAAGUCCCACCAUUAUUCCCAGACUCAGGGCCAUACAGUUGACUCCUGCUGAAAGCAGUAAAACAUGGGGACGAAACUCAGUCCUUCCAAAGGAGGAAGGAGAGGAAGAAGAGAAGAGAGGCCAGAAGAAAAAAGGACGCACCUGGGGACCAAGCUCACUUUGUCACAAGGAGCUAGGUGCAGGAGAGGACAGUCUGAAAGCUCUGGUAGAAGGAUACAAACAGUGGUCAUCCAGUGCACCAAACUUAGGGAAGAUUCAGAGAACUGCGCCUGCUUUUCCAGGAUUCACCAGCUUAGCAGAGAUGGAUGAUGAAGACAGUGAAUGUCUUAAUGGGGAGGGCAAAGUGCACCCUUCACCUGGGCACAACCAGUCAUACCUCUGCAUCCCAUUUCAGAAGAAUGAUGACUGGGAUGGGCCUUCUAGUGAUGCCAAUGAUGAAUCCACUCCUGUGAACUCUGCUACAAGCACUCCACAGCUUACACCCACCAACAGCCUCAAACGUAGUGGCUCCCACCACAAACGGUGCGAGGUUGCCUUGCUUGGCUGUGGAGCGGUUCUGGCUGCUGCAGGCCUGGGGUUUGAUCUCCUAGAAGCGGGGAAGUGUCAGCUACUGAUUGAAGAGGAUCCAGAGCCACCCAAGGAAGAGAAGAAAAAACGUGACAGCAUUUUCCAGCGAGCUGGACGCCCACGCAGGAGCACUAGCCCUCCUUCUCGAAAAAUCUUCAAGAAAGAUGAGCCCAUGUUGUUGCUUGGCGAGCCAUCCACAUCCCUCACCCUUCUUUCCCUGUCUUCCAUUUCCGAAUGUAAUUCCACCCGAUCCCUGCUGCGCUCAGACAGUGAUGAGAUUGUGGUAUACGAAAUGCCUGUCAGCCCUGUGACAGUCAAGGCUCCCUUGCCAGCCAUUAAUAACCCACUAGUUAAUGUCCAGAUUGAGAGAUUCAAACAAGACCCCAACCAGUCCCUCACUCCCACACAUGUGACGGUCUCUUCCCACACCCAGCAAGGCGGGCACAGGCGCACACCUUCUGAUGGGGCCAUCAAAGGGACUGGACUAGUUGUCAAUGGGUGCCCAACCAGUGGAUGCCCUUCCAGUAGCUGUUUAACUGGAGCACUGGGAGCAGGUGUAUUAAAAACACCUAGUCCAAGUAGAGAUCCAAAUGAGGUCCCUCGCCUGCCAGAUCCCAACCUUGUUUUUCCUCCAACCCCGAGACGAUGGAAUGCACAGCAGGACCCCACGCUGGAAAGACCCAAGACGCUGGAGUUCCUGCCUCGGCCUCGGCCCGCAGCCAGCCGGCAGCGGCUUGAUCCCUGGUGGUUUGUGUCACCCAGCAAUGCCAAGGGUGAAUCUUCUGCCAACAGUUCAAGUACUGACACUCCAAGCAAUCUGGACUCUUGUUUUGCUAGUAGCAGCAGCACUGUAGAAGAGAGACCUGGACUUCCUGCACUGCUUCCUUUCCAGGGGAGUCAUCCUGUAGAGGAGCGGACACUGUUGGACAUAGAUGCUGAGGGACAGAGCCAAGACAGCACCAUUCCGCUAUGCAGAAGUGAACUUAACACACAAAAAGCUACAGCAUAUGAACUCAAGCAAGAAUUCUGGUCUUAGUAUGAAAUUCACUUGGGACAGUAAACCCCUCUAAAUUCAAUUCUACUUUUUGCACUGAGAAUGCACUUUGAAGACAGAUGAGUUAGAUGCUACGGAGAUCGUAUGGUGCUGCCUCUGCUGAAGGUGUUGUUCAACUGCCUGAUUGUUGUCUGCGGUUGGGUGUAAUUUGGCAACUCAGAGCUGCUGACUUUGCUGUGGGGUUUUUCUGUAGUCUUCCCUGUCACUUUAUUGCAGUUUGUAUCUGCAGUAAGCUAAAAUUAUCAUAUCAAAGUCUUUGUCACUGACCUUGUAGGAUUUGGCACUUGCAGUAAGUAUCUAUCCUGGUAUUCAUCAGUAUUUUCAAAACUCAAAUGCUAUAAUACAGCAGAUGCCAGUAUUUAUUUUUCCCAAAAAUUCCAGGAAAGAAACAAGUAAAUAUCUGGAGACUACCUUCUCUAAAAUGUGUCAUUAGAUAGGCCUGGGAAUCAUGGUUCCCCCACUGAAGGAGCAGAAGUAGCGGUCUUACACUUGCUUGCCCUGUUUUGUUCGUGUCCUAGUGUAAGGUGGAACAGAUUGCUGAGGAGGGCCGUGGCAUCUCUAUUGGUGGAGGUUUUGGAGAAGAGACUGGAUGGUUGGGAAUGAAUAGGUGUAGUUGGUCCUGGCUUCAAGGAAGGGUGAGUGGACUUCGAUGAUCUUUUGAGGUCCCUCUCAGCCCUAUUUUUCAAUGACCCUUUGCUUUCAAAAUAGUGAGUGGGGGUGUUAUGACUACUUACUUCAGCCUGUUAUUUUAUUUCUAGCUGUGGUUCCAUUAGCCUCUUUUUUUUUUUUUCUCCCCUGUAUCACAGACUCAUAGUUGAGUUGCCUCAGCUUUGGGAGGGAAUUGGACAGGAACUCUUUCUUUAAAGCUGCGUGUUGGCUUGCAGAAGAAUGGGAGUAGUUGCCCUCCUCUUCAUAGCAUGCUGUUAUCUUAAGACUUAUGGACAAUGCUGCGUAGAGAUGUUACUGGAUGAAACUGGAUACCUCUCAUUCUGCUGAAGGUGAGGCAGUAAUUAAUGGUCAAGUAAAGAGAGGUCUUUGCCAUUUGGAGUACUUUAUUAAAUAGCAAAUGACAGGAAACCUCCUAACUUGAACCACCACCUUUCUAUCUUUUAUUUAACUUUUAUUUGAACUUAAUUCAUUUCUAUGGAAUGAAUAUGGAGUCCGAAGACCCAUUAGAUGUGUGGAACCAAACUUAAUUACUGUAUCCCAGAAUUCAGUGUUGGCUUGUUGCCUUUGUAAGUAUCUCUAAGCUAAUAUUAAUGUUUAUUUCUUUGGGUUUUUUGAAAUUUUUUUUCUUGGAAAAAGAUGGUUAUUACUUUCUAAUGUUUUCUGUGUGUUUUGGAAAUAUUCUUAAAAAUUCUAUCAGUUCUAUGGAAAAUAGGAAGGCUUAUCUUGCACAGAUGCUUCUUUUAACAUGAAACAAGGGAACCUUUAAAAAUGAAAAUUUCUGAUCCCUUUUACUACAACAUAGUUGCGUUCCUUUGCUUCUAUAUUUAUAACUUGCUUAAGGUUGUAAUUUGGGUAAAACUGGAUGCUAACAGUGACAGGAGAGGCUUAUGUUAAAAAAUAUAUUUACAAACAAGCAAUAAACACAGCAUGUGCACAAACAAAACCGAAAUAAACUCAUGCUGUCACAAAGGAUAACUUUAUGACUUCAUAAACACUUUGGUUCAUUAUAUAAUUAAGGUAUCUUUAAGAAAGAAUGCCUUCCUAUGUUUUUCUUUAUAGUUUACUUUGGUAAGGUUAGAAUAAGGUGCUUGGCACAGACUCUGGUCUUGCAUCUGGCUGGACAGAAUGGAUUUUUAACCAAAUGAUUGUUUUUUCUAUUUCCAUAUCUAGGUCUGUGGUUUAGACUUUUCUAUUUGUUUUGCUUAGCAUACAAGUCUUAAUAAGAACUUGUUUCUUCAGCUUUGCUUUCACAGUUUCACAAAGCAGUACAAAAUGCUUUAUGGCUUACUUUGCUACUCCCAUCUUACUAAAUACACUGGUAGAAUGUUAUCUGCUAUAGUUUUAAAGUUCAUUUGCUUUUGUUUUUUCUCAUACUCAGUUUUUUUAAGCAGCAUUACCACUGAUCAGAGACAAGUACAGCUUCUAAAAUCAUCUACAUCGGCUUUAUUUUUAUAUGUUAAAAACAGUCAUUCCCACCUUAGAAGUAUGUGCUUGAUUGUAAGGUGAUUUCCCACAGUGACUGGGUCGGGGGUCUCACAUAUCUACCAAAAUUCUUAUUGUCCCUCUAUAACAAGAAUCUCCUUUUUUUUUCCCCAGUAGAAAACACUUGAUCAAUGUCAUGUACAAGAACCACAUUUCACCUCUUUCUUUACAUGAGUAAUAGAAUCUUCUUUUUCUUUGUUUCCAAAUGACAAGAGCAUCAUUUUACCUACUGAGUGUGGCUACUUGUGCUGGUCUUUCUAAGCCUCUGAAUUACAUCUGUGUGUUUUAGAUGUAUCUUGUAUUGCUAGGUGCCUUCUACUUCAUGUGUAUCUUUGCUAGGGCCUUAGGUUGUUUUCUGGAAGGAACUCUUGGUUGUAGCUUUCAGUACUGUAGUUUUCUUCAUCAUACAUUAGGCCAAACACCAGUCAUACAAACAUUUCAUGUUCUUCAAUUUGCUGACUUGUGUAUACCCUUGUGGAAAUAAGUAUGCUAUUGCUAACUCUCCUUAUCUCUCAAUUAGAAUUCUAAAUACGUGAUUCCAUGGCUGUCUCUAUCCCAUCCUUGUCAGUUAUUUGUUCUUGUUGCCAUAGUAUUUUGACAGAAGACAGAAACCAACAUUAUCUUAUCUGUGCUUUGACCUAAAACAUUUUCAAGGUAGAAGCAUAAAACACAAGUGGGGGAAGUGUAAGUGUGGAGGUUGGCAGAAAAUAACCAAUGCAAGGGUGAAAUUUUCUAUCUUAAUAUACUAAACGGUGGUUAGAGGACUCUGACCAAGAGGUGCUUGGUAACCUAUUGGCAUCAUAGUUAAAUUGAGUCCUAAAGAAGGAUUUGAGGAUUGUGUGGUGACUUCAUUUCUGGUUGAUUUGUUUUCUUUUACCCCGAGCUACCUCAUUUAUAUGGAUGGAGUGGAAAUAAAGGAUAAGUUGUAAGAAUUGCUCUAGAUAACAAUUGAGACUAGAAUGGUGAGAGCACCAAGGAAAGCACUUGUGUUUGGCUCUUUGACAUUCAAAUUCCUUACGGAAAAAUAAAACCAGCUGUUCAUUUCCAAAAAUUAAGAUUAUACUUUAUUAUGUAACUCUCCAAAAUAAACAAUAACAAGGCACAAAGUAUAUUUCCUGAUGGUUUUUGACCUGUGGAAGAACUGAAUUUCCAAUCUAAAAAGUGAUUACUUCAUAUUGAUUACUGCUGCUUUUAAAGGUGGAAGUAUGUUUUUUGAGAACAUAUUUUUUUCUAAAUAAUCUCAUGUACUCUUUAAGUGAGCCUAUAUACAAUCUUUUUUCCCUUGUAUUUACUGUAGUUUUCCUAAUAUCAUAGAAUCCUUAGAGUUGGAAGGGACUCUGAAGGCCAUCUAGUCCAAAUCCCCUGCAGUGAACAGGGACAUCCACAGCUAGAUCAGGUUGCCUGGGGAAUAUAUCUGAUUCUAAUGCAGUUCUUAUAUCUGAAUGCUAAUGGUCAACUACAGCUAAUUUUAAGAAACUAUGAGACAUUUUUACUGUGUAACGUAGUGGAUUUUUCUGCUCAGCUUGAAGAGGGCUACUGUUAGGUCUGUAGCUGAUGGGGUCAGAUAGAUGUGCAUUUAGCAAGUGUGGACCUAGAACAGAUCUGCAGGAGGAAUGCCAAAGUUGCAUUUGCUUAGAGAAGGAUAACUGAAAGAUAAUAAUGCUGGGGAAAAAUGUCCCUUCACUAUUCAGAAGUAAUUCUCUAGGAUCUUGUCCGUGCAGUGAGAACUCAUGGUUUUUAAAAGAAUCUUUUGACUGAAGCCCCGGCAUAAGACCAAGAUAAAGUAUUUGCAUUAUUUAGGAAUGAUUGACACUGUCUCCUUGUCCUACCUUGAUUGUUCCAGUGUAGCAUUUUCUCAAGAAUAGAUGCUGAGUAAAGCUAUCCUUCUUGCCUUGAAGCAGGAGGAGAGAGAUGCGAGUCUGAGAAAGAAGAAUUAUUGUUAUAGCCAUGUCCUAAUGCAUUUCCUUAUCGCUCUCCCAGCAGCAGAGGUUAUAGUGGAGCAGAAAGACUCCUCUGAUUAUUAUCAAUUGCACACUUACCUUCUUAAGUUUAACUACAGUUGGAGAAGAGCUGAACUCUUUCCUUGAGUGCUUGUGGAUGUGGCUACUUUUAUUAAUUUGGGGGUAAAAUGAGGUAAUGUUUUCUCCUAGUCCCAGUUUGUGUUGCAAAAUGAUUUGUCUCUCCUGACUAAUUGUCCAGGUAUUUGCAGCAGGCUUUUAUUUCUGUCUUGCUUGCUUUGGUGAGUGGCUCUUAAAAUGUCAUCAUGGUUAGCGUUUGUGUCUGAAUAGGGCAGCUAAUACCUCUGAGCUGAUUUUUCACACUGCAUCUCAAACAGAUGUUAUUACAUUGGUUCUGCCAUUGCUCUGUUUUCAAGGUUAUCUUGGCAGCCAUAAUAUUCAGAAAUCCUAGACUGUAUAAAGAAUAAAGCAGCAGAAAAAAAGAAAACAUACCAAUGCUUACCAAUUAAACAGCUGAGUUUUGCCAGUGGUUUUUGCAGAGACUAAAAAACGUUCUUCUGCAGUGUAGGUCUCUGAGAGACAGCUAAAUUCCAAGUGGAGAAUGUACCUGUAUCUGCUUAAUGUCAACAGGCACCAGUGCCUCCCCUAUUUGGCAGUUUUUAUAUGAAACCAUGUAAAGCCAAAAACAUAUAGUAGUAAAAGUUUAUAUGUAGGGUACUGUCUCGUAACUAGGAGGGGAAGAGGUCUCAAUUCAAGAAAGAAUACUGAAACAUCACCGAAAUCAAUGGAAUGUAUCUGUGGGGCUAAAUGCACAAAACCUCAAGUCAGCAAAGCUAUUAUGAUCUGAUCUGGGGGGUUGUCUUGUAGAGAUUAAUGGUGAUGGACCAGUCUCCAUAUUUUGUCAGAGGGAGUUCCUUCACAAGCCUUCGGGUAAAUGCAGGCUCGAUUUGCUCUGACUUGUGUGGCCUUUCCAUGCCUGCAUUUGCCAUCCUAUUUCAUCGCUAGUUCUUACCAUAAACAGGGAAAGCUUUGAGAAUAUUUUCUGAUACAGGAGAGAUCAACAACUUCUGCGCUAGCAGACUGCUGGCUUCAGAGGGGGCAGUAAAUGGUGUGUGGAGGCUGUGUGUACAAAUUUUUAUUUAACCUGAGGUACUUUCUCAGGUUUUUUCAUUUCAGAAAUGCAUCCUUCCAGGUUAGUGUACAGAUUUGACAAAUUUGGAAGUGAUCAGUGUCUACUGUUAUUGUUAGGGUUCUUGGAUUCUUGCUUGUUAGCUGUUGGUCCAGCACUUCGUGCUGGUAUAUAUGACUUCUUUGUCAUAAAUUCAGAACAAACUGGGAAUACCGGAGAUAUUUUGCCUGACUUUAGUUGAGAGGCUUAUAUGGAGUGGGGAGGGGUGGUAGUGAUGGAAAAAUCAGGGAAACUACCUGUGAUUUUAACAAUGUCUCAUCUGUGGCUUUGAAAGUCUGAAUUUCACAGCCAGAGAAUGUAUUUCCUCCCUCUUUUUAUAAGCUACAUCUUUCUUUUGCCUUAUUAAUUGUGGAUCUGUUCCUGCUUCUGUUUAAAGCCAGUUGCAAAAAACAGUGACCUGAAUUUCCUAGGUACAGUGUUGUCAAAUCUGAAGAACCAGGUGAGUAGUUGACUCUAGUGUAAGAUCGUAUGCCCAUGUCCAUUUUUUUGAGAUAUGGGAUAGUUCCUGCUUGUGUUGAAAUCCCUGUGUGGAAAGUGUUAGGUACUUUGUAAGGAGCUCCAAUCUCUGCGGGACUGAGAUUCAUCUGAUGACUUAAGUAUUUCAGUCCAUUUUUGGAGACCUCUGUAUGUCUUCUGUUAAUGGUGUUCAAAAGUCUGUUACUAUGGAAGUAGCACCUGAAGGUGUGUUUUGCCCGAAGAACCUGCAAUGAAGCAGAUGCAUUAGGAAAUGGCAAUGUACCCCAGAGUUGAGUAAAAUAACAGAGGCCACCAAGGUUAUUCUUGUUUGUGUGAUGAAAUGUUGUCAAAUGAAGUGAUUUGUUGGAGCCUUCCUGUAACCUCUGUACAGCAGUAAGCUUAGGGGAAAAUAAGAUUGCAUUAUUUUUUAAAAAGCUUUAUUUGUGACCUGGCUUUGUUGCCUCUGACCCUCUUGGGCUUAAAUAGUUAAAUUAUAUUAAUGUCCAGUUUGUUUCACUGUAGGUAACACAUCAACUGAAUACUCUUGUGCAUAAUCUACUGUAUCUUUCCUCCGUUCUGUGUCAAUGUAUUAUGUGUAUUUGGAUUACAGUUCUUUUUUAUUGUAUUAAAUUAUUUUAUGUUAUAGAACAAUAUUUAAGCAAAGCAAAGAGCUAAUGAAAGUUGUUGGCAUUUUGGGAUUUUUUUUUCCUCUUUGCUUUUUUUUGGAUGUACUGUAAAUUGUAAACCAAGGAUGCCAAGCAGGCUUGGUUCAAUGGCUAAAAUUAUUGUAUUACAGUGUAAUGCUGAUCUAGGCCUUGUCUCAACACUAGAGCACACAGACUUGAAUAAAACUGUUAUAAAAAUGA